GACGAACGCUGGCGGCGUGCUUAACACAUGCAAGUCGAACGCUGAAGCUCAGCUUUUGUUGGGUGGAUGAGUGGCGAACGGGUGAGUAACACGUGAGUAACCUGCCUCCUUCUUUGGGAUAACGCCCGGAAACGGGUGCUAAUACUGGAUAUUCACUGGUCUUCGCAUGGGGGUUGGUGGAAAGGGUUUUUCUGGUGGGGGAUGGGCUCGCGGCCUAUCAGCUUGUUGGUGGGGUGAUGGCCUACCAAGGCUUUGACGGGUAGCCGGCCUGAGAGGGUGACCGGUCACAUUGGGACUGAGAUACGGCCCAGGCUCCUACGGGAGGCAGCAGUGGGGAAUAUUGCACAAUGGGCGCAAGCCUGAUGCAGCAACGCCGCGUGAGGGAUGGAGGCCUUCGGGUUGUGAACCUCUUUCGCUCAUGGUCAAGCCGCAACAAUGGUUGUGGUGAGGGUAGUGGGUAAAGAAGCGCCGGCUAACUACGUG
rnacentral:rRNA from 1 species